rnacentral:rRNA from 1 species
CAGUCGUACCGACGAGAAAUCAACUCAACGAAUGGGUAAUUGCGGGCGUAUGAGAGCUUCACGGUCUCAUCGUUUGUAAAUGCAUGUUCUUUGGGUGUACUUUUUCGUAUGGUAGGUCAACGUCGGUUUCGAUUGUUAUAAAAUGAUCGGAGGAAUGUAGCUUCGAUUUCGAUUGAAGUGUUAUAGCCUUUGGUAGAUGUAUUGAUCGAGACCGAGGAUUGCAACGAAUACCCUUUCGGGCUAUCCGUCUGACCUCUGAAAGUUGCUUAGGUGCCGAAAGCUUGCUUACGGUCAUUUAAGCCAGCGGUCAAUAGGUUAGAACGUGAUUAAA